rnacentral:rRNA from 1 species
CCUACGGGAGGCAGCAGUAGGGAAUAUUCCGCAAUGGGCGAAAGCCUGACGGAGCGACGCCGCGUGAGCGAUGAAGGUCUUCGGAUCGUAAAGCUCUGUUGUUAGGGAAGAACAAGCACCGGAGUAACUGCCGGUACCUUGACGGUACCUAACCAGAAAGCCCCGGCUAACUACGUGCCAGCAGCCGCGGUAAU